UUACGGCCAUAUUAUAUUGAAGCACCAGUUCCCGUAUGAUUAUCGAAGUUAAGCAACGUCGAGCCUGGUCAGAUGGGUGACCACUUGGGAAUACCAAGUACU